AUGUCUAAGUAUAAGCAAUUAUACGGCGAAACUGCGAAUGGCUCAUUAUAUAAGUUAUCGUUUAUUUGAUAGCACCUUACUACUUGGAUAACCGUGGUAAUUCUAGAGCUAAUACAUGCUGAAAAUCCCGACUUCGGAAGGGAUGUAUUUAUUGGAUUAAAAACCAAUGCCCUCUGGGCUCUCUGGUGAUUCACGAUAACUUCUCGAAUCGCAUGGCCUUGCGCCGGCGAUGGUUCAUUCAAAUUUCUUCCCUAUCAACUUUCGAUGUUUGGGUAGUGGCCAAACAUGGUUGCAACGGGUAACGGAGGGUUAGGGCUCGACCCCGGAGAAGGAGCCUGAGAAACGGCUACUACAUCCAAGGAAGGCAGCAGGCGCGCAAAUUACCCAAUCCGACACGGGGAGGUAGUGACAAUAAAUACUGAUACAGGGCUCUUUUGGGUCUGUAAUUGGAAUGAGUACAAUUUAAAUCCCUUAACGAGGAACAAUUGGAGGGCAAGUCUGGUGCCAGCAGCCGCGGUAAUUCCAGCUCCGGUAGCGUAUAUUAAAGUUGUUGUGGUUAAAAAGCUGUAGUUGAACCUUGGGCCUGGCUGGCCGGUCCGCCUCACCGCGUGCACUGGUCCGGCCGGGCCUUUCCCUCUGUGGAACCCCAUGCCCUUCACUGGGCGUGGCGGGGAAACAGGACCUUUACUUUGAAAAAAUUAGAGUGCUCCAGGCAGGCCUAUGCUCGAUACAUUAGCAUGGAAUAAUGAAAUAGGACGUGCGGUUCUAUUUUGUUGGUUUCUAGGACCGCCGUAAUGAUUAAUAGGGACAGUCGGGGGCAUCAGUAUUCAAUUGUCAGAGGUGAAAUUCUUGGAUUUAUUGAAGACUAACUACUGCGAAAGCAUUUGCCAAGGAUGUUUUCAUUAAUCAGGAACGAAAGUUAGGGGAUCGAAGACGAUCAGAUACCGUCGUAGUCUUAACCAUAAACUAUGCCGACUAGGGAUCGGACGAUGUUAUUUUUUGACUCGUUCGGCACCUUACGAGAAAUCAAAGUGCUUGGGCUCCAGGGAGUAUGGUCGAAGGCUGAAACUUAAAGAAAUUGACGGAAGGCAACCCAGGGGUGGCAUGGCGGCUUAAUUUGACUCAACACGGGGAAACUCACCAGGUCCAGACACAAUGAGGAUUGACAGAUUGAGAGCUCUUUCUUGAUUUUGUGGGUGGUGGUGCAUGGCCGUUCUUAGUUGGUGGAGUGAUUUGUCUGCUUAAUUGCGAUAACGAACGAGACCUUAACCUGCUAAAUAGCCGGCGCGGUCGCGCGCGCCGGCUU
rnacentral:rRNA from 2 species